ACGCUGGCGGCAGGCCUAACACAUGCAAGUCGAGCGGUAGAGAGAAGCUUGCUUCUCUUGAGAGCGGCGGACGGGUGAGUAAUGCCUGGGAAUCUGCCUGGUAGUGGGGGAUAACGCCCGGAAACGGACGCUAAUACCGCAUACGUCCUACGGGAGAAAGCAGGGGACCUUCGGGCCUUGCGCUAUCAGAUGAGCCUAGGUCGGAUUAGCUAGUUGGUGAGGUAAUGGCUCACCAAGGCGACGAUCCGUAACUGGUCUGAGAGGAUGAUCAGUCACACUGGAACUGAGACACGGUCCAGACUCCUACGGGAGGCAGCAGUGGGGAAUAUUGGACAAUGGGCGAAAGCCUGAUCCAGCCAUGCCGCGUGUGUGAAGAAGGUCUUCGGAUUGUAAAGCACUUUAAGUUGGGAGGAAGGGCAGUAAAUUAAUACUUUGCUGUUUUGACGUUACCGACAGAAUAAGCACCGGCUAACUCUGUGCCAGCAGCCGCGGUAAUACAGAGGGUGCAAGCGUUAAUCGGAAUUACUGGGCGUAAAGCGCGCGUAGGUGGUUCGUUAAGUUGGAUGUGAAAUCCCCGGGCUCAACCUGGGAACUGCAUUCAAAACUGUCGAGCUAGAGUAUGGUAGAGGGUGGUGGAAUUUCCUGUGUAGCGGUGAAAUGCGUAGAUAUAGGAAGGAACACCAGUGGCGAAGGCGACCACCUGGACUGAUACUGACACUGAGGUGCGAAAGCGUGGGGAGCAAAC
rnacentral:rRNA from 1 species